AUACUUACCUGGCGUAGGGAUACCGUGAUCAUGCAGGUGGUUCCCCCAGGGUGAGGCUGCGCCAUUGCACUGGGUGUGAGUGGUUGACCCUUGCGAUUAUUUUUAUUUUUUUAUAAGUUUCACUUCUACCGUGUGUGACUUGCACACACACACACACACA
rnacentral:snRNA from 1 species